AGUUAAUAUAAAUAAGAUUUUUCUUAGACCUAUUAAAAGUCUUAUCAAAAUUUAAGAAACAUUUAAAUUAAAAAUUAUUAAUUUUUAAACGUAUUGAAAUUUAAGAAAAAGUAAAUUAAUUACAUAAAUGAUAAAUUAAAUAUAAAUAUACUGUUUUUUUAGCACUUACAGUGGCCGGGUACUGAUGUAAGCCCUUUAUCCCCACAGUCUUACAGAUGAGGUGACUGAGGAACAGAGAGUUUGAAUGAUUUUCUCUAGGACCCACAACUGAUGAGCCCUGAGCUGGAAGCUGAACCCUGGGCUGUCUGGCACGUUGUCCCUCUGCGAGAGGGUAACAACACUUCAUGGAGCAGCCAGUGUCCCAGCAGGUCCCCUGACCCUUCCUGCUCCAGUUAGACUGCCAACCCCAGCUGCCGGCCCCUGCAGGGGGGCUGAGGCUUCUGUGGCCACCAGAGCCACCUUCUCCCGCAUUCAAGCAGGGGCCUCCCAACGCAGGAUCCCACACAGCUGCUUAGGAAUGGCGUCUACGCCGAAGAACAGCUGGCCAUUUGCCCAGCACCACUGUAAGCUGCUUUGGUGCGUUCACUCCACCCUCACAGGCAGCCUACGAAUGGGAAAACUGAGGCAUGGGGUGGGGGAUCUUCCUCACCUGCCCUCACUCACUCAGCUAUGGGUGGCAGAGCUGGAAGCUCCAUAAACCUUCCUGGCCCCCACAGGAGCCAGAACCCACGGCAUGACCUUUCCUUACAUCUCAUGCUCUCGCAGACACAUUUUGGCAGAGCCCUAGUGUCGGGGAUGACAGCAAGGAAGGCGGCCCUGCCUCCCCCCAGGAGGUGAGGAACAGAAGGAUGGGAGGGACAAGGGAAACCCACACGAGGCCCUCGCCACCCUCAAGAAGCUCCCUGGUUGCUGCACCCUCACUUCCAAUGGAGACAGGUCUUUUUCACACAGUAACACCCCAUCCUCUCACCCUGAUCGGUGAUUGGUAUUCCCAAGGGAAGGCCUGCGUUCUGAAGAAGGUGAGUGUCCAUGACUGGGCUCCCGCGGUGGAUUGAGGGAAAGGUUGACCUGUCUGGG
rnacentral:lncRNA from 12 species